rnacentral:snoRNA from 1 species
AGUCUCAUUCUAGAUAAGAAUAGACAUCAUUGAUCCAUGUGGCUAAAGUGAAACACUUUAUGGUCAUGCUUCCAUUACAGUAAAUGCAUUACAGUGGUGACAAUGAGAUCUGUAACAUUU